rnacentral:lncRNA from 1 species
GGAGAGACCAGGACGCUUCCGUAAGUUUGCGGGUCCUUUUGUGCUUCUCUGCGUCCCGAGCUCCAGUUCUUUUCUUCAGGGCUCUGCAUUCUCUGCUCCUAGAGGCCAAGCCUCUGUGGCCUUGUGUCCUGCAGGUAUUCGCAGAUUUAUGGCUGAAAGACCGGGAUCCCCUGGAAGCCGAGAAAUGAGACUGUUGACAUUCAGAGACAUAGCUAUAGAAUUCUCUCUGGAGGAGUGGCAAUGCCUGGAUUGUGCUCAGCAGAAUUUAUAUAGAGAUGUGAUGUUAGAGAACUACAGAAACCUGGUCUCCCUGG